GGCUGGCUGCGGGCUGGGCAGAGAAAGAGGCUUUGAGACUCCCGAGCAACUUUAUAAUGCAGGAGAAAAGUUAGCCUUUUAAAUGAGGUUAAGUACCCCGAGAGUGAUGGUAAAUAGAACAGGCAGCUCUUUAAGUGGAAAUAAAGUGCUUUCAGUACCGUCAUAAAGCUGCAAAACGCAGCUUAGCUGGGAGAAGUGGAUUUCACGUGGGAGAGAGAGCAAAUUAGAAUGCAGGCUCAAGAGCGAUUUAAGAGGGGCCCUUCAACCACGGAAAGAAAGGGAGAGGGAGAAGGGAGGAGAAAGAGAGAGUCUGAUUGAUUGAUUAUGGCCAACUGUGAGAAGCAGAAUUCCACACUGAGGUCUGGCAGCACCCUAACAGGCACUUCUGCUCUCCCCCCACGAUGUGCCCACCCCACCUCUUGCAGCCGAGCAAUGCAACCUCAAUAGGAAAACAAUCUGACUUCAGUGCAAUUUCACUCCUAAGGAUUUUCCACAUAUUUAAAGAUGCUUUGCAUAUUUUUUUUCUAAAAUCCCCCAUGAGACUCUACAGUAUGUUCCUGAAUUCUUUUUAACCUCUUAACUUGUCAAAAGAGCAUUUCAAACCCUAGAUCUCAGGGGUCCCUGCCAGGCAUUUUCAAGUUUGAUUUUUGUGGGGAGGACAUCAACAAGUUAAAACCUAAAUGAGCAACAAACGAGGUGACGUGCGUUAUCAGUUUUGUCUUCCAUGUCUUCCUCAUCCUGCUGUUUGCUCCACGGCUCUUGACAGGAUGGAGACGAGGAAAGAACUUCCACAUCCACAUUCAAAACGUCUGCCAGAACUCCCUCAGGCGAUUACUUUAAAACAUGAAAGAAAUUGCACCUUUUCCUUAAGGGCAAGAUGGUGCUGUGGGCUUUCCUCUCUCCUGAUGAGAUGAUGCAAAUGGACUCCAUAGAGAAACGCUGCCCGUGUAACAAUGCAGUUACGCAACCCGGUGCAUGACACAUGAAUUGCAGCGCACCUGAGAUCCUGAUGAAAUCCUGGGAGCCUGGAGCUGUCAAACAUGGUUUUAAAAAAUAAAGGGAAUACACCCAGCCCACACCCUGACUUUACAACCUUUAAUUAAUUAGAGGAAAGAAAGAGAGAUUUGUCUGGUUUCAUGACUUCAACUUUCCACCUGGAAUAUGAAGCUCCUGCUCUUCCCACCUCCUUUUCUUCUCUCUCUCUCUCUCAGGUUUUUAAAUUUCUAUUUCCAGUUCUGCCACCAAAAAUAGAUUGCAAAUAUAUUCUGCAUAAUUCCGAGGCUACACUAUAAAUGUUGGAGUGCUACUACUUGUAUAAUAGUCACAAAUGAACGCACGAGUGGGCAC
rnacentral:lncRNA from 10 species